rnacentral:rRNA from 1 species
UACGGAGGGUGCAAGCGUUAAUCGGAAUCACUGGGCGUAAAGCGCUCGUAGGCGGUUUGGUCAGUCAGACGUGAAAGCCCGCAGCUCAACUGCGGAACUGCGUUUGAUACUGCCAGACUUGAGUGUCGGAGAGGGUGGCGGAAUUCCGGGUGUAGGAGUGAAAUCCGUAGAUAUCCGGAGGAACACCAGUGGCGAAGGCGACUGACUGGACAAGUAUUGACGCUGAGGUGCGAAAGCGUGGGGAGCAAACAGGAUUAGAUACCCCUGUAGU